rnacentral:ncRNA from 19 species
UUUUUAUCGCGAGAGACGGAGGGACUGGCCCGAUGAUGUUUCGGCAGCGGACGAUUAAAUCGUACUGUGCCAAAUCCAGCAAGCUGCGGCUUGAGAGAUAAGAA